rnacentral:rRNA from 1 species
GAUGAACGCUGGCGGCGUGCUUAACACAUGCAAGUCGAACGGUGAAGCUCCAGCUUGCUGGAGUGGAUCAGUGGCGAACGGGUGAGUAACACGUGAGCAACCUGCCCCUGACUCUGGGAUAACAGCCGGAAACGGCUGCUAAUACCGGAUAUGCACCAUGAACGCAUGUUCUGUGGUGGGAAAGAUUUUUCGGUUGGGGAUGGGCUCGCGGCCCAUCAGCUUGUUGGUGAGGUAAUGGCUCACCAAGGCGUCGACGGGUAGCCGGCCUGAGAGGGUGACCGGCCACACUGGGACUGAGACACGGCCCAGACUCCUACGGGAGGCAGCAGUGGGGAAUAUUGCACAAUGGGCGAAAGCCUGAUGCAGCAACGCCGCGUGAGGGAUGACGGCCUUCGGGUUGUAAACCUCUUUUAGCAGGGAAGAAGCGAGAGUGACGGUACCUGCAGAAAAAGCGCCGGCUAACUACGUG